rnacentral:rRNA from 1 species
CGCGGCCUAUCAGCUUGUUGGUGGGGUAAUGGCCCACCAAGGCGACGACGGGUAGCCGGCCUGAGAGGGCGACCGGCCACACUGGGACUGAGACACGGCCCAGACUCCUACGGGAGGCAGCAGUGGGGAAUAUUGCACAAUGGGCGAAAGCCUGAUGCAGCGACGCCGCGUGAGGGAUGACGGCCUUCGGGUUGUAAACCUCUUUCAGCAGGGAAGAAGCGAAAGUGACGGUACCUGCAGAAGAAGCGCCGGCUAACUACGUGCCAGCAGCCGCGGUAAUACGUAGGGCGCAAGCGUUGUCCGGAAUUAUUGGGCGUAAAGAGCUCGUAGGCGGCUUGUCACGUCGGAUGUGAAAGCCCGAGGCUUAACCUCGGGUCUGCAUUCGAUACGGGCUAGCUAGAGUGUGGUAGGGGAGAUCGGAAUUCCUGGUGUAGCGGUGAAAUGCGCAGAUAUCAGGAGGAACACCGGUGGCGAAGGCGGAUCUCUGGGCCAUUACUGACGCUGAGGAGCGAAAGCGUGGGGAGCGAACAGGAUUAGAUACCCUGGUAGUCCACGCCGUAAACGUUGGGAACUAGGUGUUGGCGACAUUCCACGUCGUCGGUGCCGCAGCUAACGCAUUAAGUUCCCCGCCUGGGGGAGUACGGG